CGGGUAUUGAAAAAAAGGGAAACAUAUCAAGUUAUGCCUUGAAGAUAUUACGAUUUUGUGCAUUUUUGUUCCUUGUAAUUGUUCUAUCGGUUGGAUUUUGUUUAGAAUUCGAUUUGCUUUCCCCCAUUAAGAAUAAGAACUUUGAAGAGUGAACGUUGCUAUGCAUAAUUGUUCAAGUGUCCUAAUUCUUGGUGGGCCACUUGAUAUGUGUACCUGCUGUAAAUAUGGACCAACAUCAAUAUGUAGGCUUUAGGUGGGCAUGUAGUGAGUUUCGGAAUGCCCAUAAAGGACCUACGAACAUUUUAAUUUUAUGGAUUGUAAAUGUAGUUGGACGUUGAUAGGAUAAUACAGUACAUCAACCCAACAAAAUCUAAGAGAAGUUUGAUGGUUAGCGGUUUCUUUGUUAGGUGGUAGUCCAUGGUCAAAUUCUGUCCUACCUUCUUAUUAUUUUUCUAUAUUGUUCAUUAGAG
rnacentral:misc_RNA from 1 species